rnacentral:misc_RNA from 1 species
AAGAACAGACCGCCGUCUCUGGCACUGUAAACCCCGUGAACCUUUUACCUACAGACGUUGCCUCGGCGCGCGAGCGGUAGGAGGCAUUCUAGGGGGUCGCCCAGCGCACCCCCUAGCCUGUCGCACCGCCCGCCGCCGGCAGCAGAACAAACGCUCAGAACCACGCUCGGCGCUCUCUGAACUAGAAAUACUAAACGAGUAA